UGGGGGAUAUUGCGGCAAUGGGGGCAACCCUGACGCAGCAACGCCGCGUGAAGGAUGAAGGUUUUCGGAUUGUAAACUUCUUUUAUUAAGGACGAAUUUUGACGGUACUUAAUGAAUAAGCUCCGGCUAACUACGUGCCAGCAGCCGCGGUAAUACGUAGGGAGCAAGCGUUGUCCGGAUUUACUGGGUGUAAAGGGUGCGUAGGCGGCUUUGCAAGUCAGAUGUGAAAUCUAUGGGCUCAACCCAUAAACUGCAUUUGAAACUGUAGAGCUUGAGUGAAGUAGAGGCAGGCGGAAUUCCCCGUGUAGCGGUGAA
rnacentral:rRNA from 1 species